rnacentral:rRNA from 1 species
AUUGAACGCUGGCGGCAGGCCUAACACAUGCAAGUCGAACGAGUGGCGGACGGGUGAGUAAUGUCUGGGAAACUGCCCGAUGGCGGGGGAUAACUACUGGAAACGGUAGCUAAUACCGCAUACCAUCGGAUGUGCCCAGAUGGGAUUAGCUAGUAGGUGGGGUAACGGCUCACCUAGGCGACGAUCCCUAGCUGGUCUGAGAGGAUGACCAGCCACACUGGAACUGAGACACGGUCCAGACUCCUACGGGAGGCAGCAGUGGGGAAUAUUGCACAAUGGGCGAAAGCCUGAUGGAGCAAUGCCGCGUGUAUGAAGAAGGCCUUCGGGUUGUAAAGCACUGUCAGCGGGGAGGCGGUACUCGAAGAAGAAGCACCGGCUAACUCCGUGCCAGCCGCCGCGGUAAUAC